UCAUCUGACUUUGGAACAUACACAGUAGCUAUGUGUGUAUUCCUUCUCAGUCAGAAUCUGGUCCACUUUUGUCCUAAUUCUCUGGGGACAUUAAAAUCAAGCUGCAAAGAGACCGGGGAGUUAGAAACAGUAAUGGUUUGUCCAGAGGGCUGUGGAAUCCUGAGUUUAUCCCAGAACUUGGAGCUUUGCUUCCAGGAACCAGGUUACCACUUUGUGCCCUCCCAGGGAGGGUCCCAAGCAGCAGCGUGAUCUUAGCGACUUCCAAAUUGGUCCUAUAUGGGCCAGGGCAGGAUUAAAAAUAAACCUCUCCUGCUUAAGGUUGGCCCGAGAGUGUGAGUGAAUGACUUUAUGGUCUUUCCCUAAACAUUGAGCUUGUGUAAGAAAUGAAAUCUUAGCUUCUUUCAGGGCAUUUGGACAGUAAGCUGGGGCCUGCGUGGGUACAAGGAAUUUCUGCCAAGAUUUAUUCCCAGCUGUGUUUGCUUUUGCAAGAACAGGAAAAAGGAGUUAAUUUGCUGCGGAUUCCAAAACACUGUUAGGACCCUCACAGGAAAAGCAAAGUUCAGCUGAAAUACUUUCUGCCCUGUGAUCCUGGCAAAGGUCAAUUCUAUUCUUUUUUCCUUUGGCUAAUUCUAUUCUUUAAGGAAAGUAGCUCUCAGAAAACUUGGGUCAAAGCUCUAUCAUUGCCCAACUCUUUUCUUCGAUUAGUCUGCUCUUCCUGGUUAUAAAGACCUUUGGACCUGAAAGACCAAUGUUUGGCCAUUUAAUAUAUAUGUAUAUAUAUAUAUAUAUGUAUAUAUAUAUAUGUAUAUAUAUGUAUAUAUAUAUUUGCUAUUUUUAUUAUUGAGAUCUGUUUUGUGAGGGUUUGGGGUGCAGAAGACUUUGAUUAAUGAUGUUUUCGAUGGGAGGAGGUGACCUGAUUAUCUGUGUGAGCAGACUUCCAUGGAACAGAAGUGAUGUCUUUAUGGUAAUAACAAUGGUCAUUAAACCCGAGUGACUUGAGCUGUGUUUCCUUAAUGGUGGUGUCUAUACGUCUGGACACAAGUAGAGUGUGAAAGUAAAUGGUGAAUGAAAAGGCUAGAUAUAUAGUUCUUUAUAUUGAUCUUUGAGCUCGAAUCCAUAUUCCAUUAUGUUAAUCCAUGAGCUUUACUCCAGGGAGGGAUACCUCAGGGCUUUAACUGCCUGACAUAUAACAAAUUUCUUAGGUUGGGAUUGCGUGUGUGCGUGCGUGCGUGCGUGCAUGGUGUGUGUGGUGCGUGUGGUGUGCGUGUGUGUGUGGUGUGUGUGUGUGUGUGUGUGUGUGUGUGUGUGUGUAUG
rnacentral:lncRNA from 1 species